CCUCCCAGGAGGGCCCUGGAGACAGUGUGAAAUUCGAGGGAGGUGAAGAUGCUUCUGUGGCUGUGGAGUGGUCCGGGGAUGGCAGUGGGACCCUGCAGAGGAGUGGCUCUCUUGGCAAGAUCCGGGAUGUGCUCCGCAGAAGCAGUGAACUCUUGGUGAGGAAGCUCCAGGGGACUGAGCCUCGGCCCUCCAGGUAUACAUGGAAGUCAAGAUACAGUAAAGUGGCCGGGUGCAGUGGCUCACGCCUGUAAUCCCAGCACUUUGGGAGGCCGAGGCGGGUGGAUCACCUGAGGUCAGGAGUUUGAGACCAGCCUGGCCAACAAGGUGAAACUCUCUCCUAAAAAUACAAAAAUUAGUCGGGUGUGGUGGCAGGUGCCUGUAAUCUCAGCUACUUGGGAGGCUGAGGCAGGAGAAUUGCUGGAACCCAGGAGGCAGAGGUUGCAGGGAGCCAAGAUCAUGCCAUUGCACUCCAGCCCAGGCGACAACAGCGAGACUCCGUCUC
rnacentral:lncRNA from 10 species